GACAGAGGAUGCAAGCGUUAUCCGGAAUGAUUGGGCGUAAAGCGUCUGUAGGUGGCUUUUUAAGUCCGCCGUCAAAUCCCAGGGCUCAACCCUGGACAGGCGGUGGAAACUACCAAGCUGGAGUACGGUAGGGGCAGAGGGAAUUUCCGGUGGAGCGGUGAAAUGCGUAGAGAUUAGGAAGAACACCAGUGGCGAAGGCGGUUUCUUGGGCCGACACUGACGCUGAGGCACGAAAGCGUGGGGAGCGAACAGG
rnacentral:rRNA from 1 species